GGCUGUGAGGGCGGGUGGGAGAGAUGGGGAAUCAGAUUCCUUUGCCAGCAGGCCUCUAAGAGGGAGCCCAGGGGAGCAGCAGGGCAGCUCUAGGACCUGGGACUUCCUGGGUGUGGAGUCUUCUCGUUCACACUCACCCUGAGCCUGUCCUGGACUCUGUUGGUGUCGUGGGUCACCUGCCCUUCCUGCAGGGAGAUGGCAUGGGGUAGUCUAUGGACCAGGUCCUGUGAGGAGUCCUGCAAACACAGUGCCCAGCAGCCAGGCAGAAACCUCAGAGCCGUGUCUGGUUGUCCUGACUGGUUCUCAGACCCAUAAGACAGCUCCAGUCUCAACACGCACACACCACUCUCUGCACAGACCUCCAUCAGGGACAGAAAGCUGACAACCUGAAGGGCUUGGAUUCCCACUGGCAUGGAGAAAAGGCCCCUCAGGAGUCCUCUUUCCCCCCUGCCAGCCCUGUCCUCGGGUGUGGCCAUGACAGGACCACCAGAUUACCACGUGUUCAAUGGCUGGUUCCCGCCCAGAGGGGACACCUCCCCUCAAGUCCCCCUUCCCCCACAUGGAGAUGAGGGGAAGUGGGCCUGCCCAGGGAGGGCUCCCAGAGGAGGCUGGUCCCAGAUUGGCCUGCUCCAGGCUGCCCGGUGUUACCUUAAGUGAUCGCCUCAUAAUAGAGCAGAGGUGUUGGGGUUGAGGGUUCCACCAACGCCUACAGCCUCUCAAAAACCUCUCACUCCAGGGUUUCCUGGACGAGAAGCCCCGAGAGUUCACAAAACUGAAAGAACAUGUUUCUCUGUGAACUGUCUCCAGCCAAGUGAGCUGGCUCAGGGGCCGUCAUUAGAAUGUGGGUGCCUGGUUACUGGGUUCCAAUUCUGUUGGGGUCUGUUAUCAAGGACGUGACAUCACUUCCUGGGGUCCACUUCUUGGGACUCAUUCCUCAGACAACACCUCCGGACAGCCCUCUGGGCUGCUGCCUGCUCACCCCCUCCUCCUCACAAACCCACCUCUUCCACAGUUACAGCAGCCCUGCCCUCUCCACGGCUCCCGGGGAGGCUCUGUGUGUAGCUGUGAGGAGACGACCUGGCUUCCAGACUCAACUUCUCAUUGUUACCUGUUCUACAUCUUGUAUUUAUCCUGGUGUUUCUCCAGGACGGUCUCCCCAUCUGCACAGUCGGGCUGACUCUGGUCGUACUUCUAGAGAUGUCCUCAGGCGUGUGUGGGAUAAGACAAGAGAAGUGUAGGAGUGGUGUCACUUGUAGGUGCCAUCUUCCAGGAGAAUGUGGCCAAGGACGACAGGGCAUUUCCAGCUGGCCGCAGCAGACCUGAGCCUCAGCGAUGACAUCCUGCAGAGCUAGAAGAUCACCUGCUCCGUCAAGGUCAUCGAGGUCAACAACCCUUUUCAGGCCCUGCAGGAAGCUGGUUUAAUUUUGUAAAGGGACACUUCCCUUCAUCUACAGCCACCCAUUGAAGCAGUUCAUAGAGGAAAGGCAGUCUCCUACGAAAUCUGUAUAUAGUGCCAGACAUUGGACCCAUCCAGACUGAGAACUACCUGGGCCACCAGGAGUAAAACCUCAGACUGUCACAGUAAGUGAGCUGAGCUGAACUAGUCAACGGUUGAACUGUCUCGUGUGUCCUGUGUCCGGGGCUGAGAAAGCCGACCACUGUCAUCUGGCAGCACUGCCACCUGGGGUGAGGCUGUCAGUCUCUGCUUGGCUCCUCAAGGUCACAUCACAGCCUCUUCUGGAUCUGCUGUCCACAUUCCAGGGAGAAGAGUCCCUUUGGCACUCCUGAGAAACAAACAUAUGGAUCAAUGGAACAGAACAGAGAGCCCAGAAAUGAACCCACAGACUUUUGGUCAAUUAAUCUUUGACAAAGGAGGCAAUGGAAUAAAGACAGUCUCUUCAGCAAAUGGUGUUCGGAAAACUGGACAGCAGAAUGUAAAUCAAUGAAGUUAGAACACUCUGUCACACUACACAAAAAUAAACUCAAAAUGGGUUAAAGACUUAAAAAUAAGACAAGACACAAUAAACCUCCUAGAAGAAAACACAGGCAAAACGUUAUGUCACAUUUAUCUCAGCAAUGUUCUCCUAGGGCAGUCUACCCAAGCAAUAGAAAUAAAAGCAAAAAUAAGCACAUGGGACCUAAUUAAACUUACAAGAUUUUGCACAGCAAAGGAAAUAAUAAGCAAAACAAAAUGAUAUCUUUUGGAAUGGGAGAAAAUAUUUGCAAUGGGUGAAACUGACAAGGGCUUGAUCUCCAGAUAUAAAAAGUUCAUAUGACUUAGUAAGAAAAAAAAAAACCAACCCAAUCCAAAAAUGGGCAGAAGACCUAAACAAGCAAUUCUCCAAGGAAGACAUGAAUGAUCAAGAGGCGCAUGAAAAGAUGAUCAAUAUCACUAAUUAUCAGAGAAAUGCAAAUCAAAACUACAGUGAGGUAUCACUUCACACCAGUCAGGAUGGCCGUCAUUCAAAAGUCCACAGAUAAUGGAUGCUAGAGAAGGUGUCAAGAAAAGGGAACCCUCCUACACUGCUGGUGGAAAUGCAGUUUGGUGCAGCCACUGUGGAAAACGGUAUGGGGAUUCCUCAAAAGACUAGGAAUAGACUUACCAUAUGACCCAGCAAUCCCACUUCUGGGCAUAUAUCCAGGUGGAACCCUAAUUCAAAAAGACACCUGCACCCCAAUGUUAAUAGCAGCACUAUUUACAAUAGCUGAGACAUGGAAACAACCUAAAUGUCCACUUACAGAUGACUGGACAAAGAAGAUGUAGUAUAUUUAUACAGUGGAAUGCUAUUCAGUCAUAAAAAUGACAACAUAAUGCCAUUUGCUGUAAUAUGGGUUCCCUGGAGAAUGUCAUUCUAAAUGAAGUAAACCAGAUAGAGAAAGAAAAAUAUCAUAUGAUUAUCACUCAUAUGUGGAAUCUAAAAAAAAAAAAGAAGAAGAAGACAAGUAAACUAAAAUACAAAACAGAAACAGACUCACAGACAUAGAAUGCAAACUGUGGUUGCCAUGGGGGAGGGGUGUAGGAGGGACAGACUGGGAGUUUGAGAUGUGUAGAUACUGAGAGGUAUAUAUAAACUAGAUAAACAAGCUUAUACUGUGUAGCACAGGGAAAUAUAUUUAAGAUCUUCUAAUAGCUCUUGGUGAAAAAGAACAUGAAAAUGGAUAUAUGUAUAUUAAUUUAUGACUGAAAAAUUGUGCUGUACACCAGAAAUUGACACAGCAUUGUAAACUGACUAUAACUCAAUAAAAAGAAAAAACAAUUCAAAAAGCCUCUUUUUUUGUUUUCACUUUCAGGUUCUGCUAAUUAAGCCAAGUGUGUAGUCUUAGGUGAUGGGGGCUGUGUAUAUAUUUCAAGGACACGAUAAGAGCUAUAACUUCAAUUUUUCUCCUAGGAUUAGUUUUCUUCUCUCAGGGUCAGCAUUUUGAAAAGAUGUCUG